GGGCACCGAGCCUCGGCCGCCCCUCGGCGGGGACGGGAAGGGAACGGGGCAGAGCCGGUGCCGGUGUGUCCCCGGUUCUCUUCCCCGCUGCUGUCUCGGACACACGGUCCCGACGAGGCUCGGGCACCGCGGGGCUGGCGGAGGAUGUUCCUCUUUUCUGUGUCUCCACAAACCCAGCACUGAUGGUCCCAGACGUUACUUGUUUGCUUUAUUAAUAGCCAUGGAGAAGCGAGAACUGCCUACGACAAAGGUCACGGCUACCAAUUCCUGUUAACAGGCCAGGAGUGGGUAUUUUGGGGAAUCCCAUGCUUGACGUAACCCUCCCUGGGAAGAGCCCACAGCUCUGGGAGUUUCCAAGCUGGUGGCCAGUGCUAUAAGAGCAGGAGUGGGUUAAGGGAAGGACAGGAGUCCUGGAGCCUGCUGACAGCCCCCCACACAGCGAGGCUGUGCUGCCAGCCACGACGAUCGUCCCUUCCCCUCCUCAGUGUCUCCCCACGCAUGCCAGAGCUGACUUCACUUCUUGCCAGUAACUCCCUAGCUAUGAAAGCAGAUACGAACAGUGGGCUUGUGUGCCACUGGGUCUGCUUCCAUGGGUAGAGCCCCCGGUCCAGCUGGGAUUGAGCCCUCGCUGCCUCUUCACCCCUCUCCCUGUUGCACCGUUUCCCCUGGAGGAAGCUCCAGCACGGAGAUGGAGGCCCGGCCGCCAGCCCUGCUCGGGAAGUAAGCAGGAGGGAGAUGGCACAGAGGUCGACACCAACGUUAUCCGGUUCCCAGCUGGGGUGGGACACUGCUGCGGGCAAGGAGGAGGAGCUCGGCUCUUCUCCUUCUCCAGUAAUGUUUCAUGGUUGGGAGGUACCAAAUAACUCCCGUAAAACACUGUCCUGGGUGUGCUCUGCUCACAGUGCCGCUGGGACAGGAGCUUUGGUAUUCCUGCAACAUCCUGUCUGUCUUGUCCAAAACACCAAAUAAACAAUGCCAAGUGUGCC